rnacentral:rRNA from 1 species
UACGUAGGGUGCGAGCGUUGUCCGGAAUUAUUGGGCGUAAAGGGCUCGUAGGCGGUUUGUCGCGUCGGGAGUGAAAACACCGGGCUUAACUCGGUGCUUGCUUUCGAUACGGGCAGAUUAGAGGUAUGCAGGGGAGAACGGAAUUCCUGGUGUAGCGGUGAAAUGCGCAGAUAUCAGGAGGAACACCGGUGGCGAAGGCGGUUCUCUGGGCAUUACCUGACGCUGAGGAGCGAAAGUGUGGGGAGCGAACAGG